GAGAUGGUUUCUGUGGUGUUCUGAAUUGGGUUUGUGGGCUUUUAGUUUCAGAAUCGCAAUUCUCCCAUUUUCCUUUGAGUAUUUCGGUUUCCUAUGUUUGCAUGCCUUUUGGCAUCAUUUAAGUCUUAUGAGUUUUUGGGUUUUCUGUGUUUGCAUGUUUCUGGGAUCAUUCAUUGUAGAUGAUAGCAAGGCUUUUGCAGCACCUGAUGGAUAUUUGCUAAUUUGAAUCUUGAUUUGAAUGUUGGUUUCUGUUUUGGGGUUGAUGGUGUAAUGGGCAUGUGUGGAAAACAUGUUAGAGGGUAUAGAGAAGGAUUAUACUAUUUUUAACUAAUCAAAGAAAAUAAUUGCAUUUGUUUUCUGAAAUAUACAUUUGGUAAGAAUUAUAUUAUUUUUAACAAUUAUGUAAGUGAAUAGUUUUUGAAAAUGGGGAUUUGAUUAUGUGGAUACAUGUGCAUUUCUUAUUAGUGUUUGAUAUUUGGAAAGGAAAAAUAUGAACGAGGAAGAGAACCUCAUAAACUUGCAGAAAUGGAUUAGGAAAGGAAUUUCAUAGCUAAGGAUUGCCCAAACCUUUCUCUUGAUGCACUGCUUUGUUCUUUUCAGUUAUCGUUGUUGGUCGAUCCAGAGAGAGGAGCAGGUUGUUUUUUGCAUGUUUUCGUUUUUCUGAAGUUGCUAAAUUCGGGUCCAACGCUGACAGUACUUCCAAUACUCAGGUAUCUGAGUGUUUAUGGUUGCAGUUAUGGCACCUAAAGGCUAAAGGAUGACAAGAAAAAUGAAGGCUCUAGAAAGUGAUCAUAGCUCAGCAAAUAUAAUGAAAAGCUUAUCAAGUAAGGGAGAUAUGGGAGAAAUGAAGAAUGAUCAGACUAUAGAUAUGGGAGCAACUAGAACGACUA